UAGGGAAUCUUCCACAAUGGACGAAAGUCUGAUGGAGCAACGCGCGUGAGUGAGAAGGGUUUCGGCUCGUAAACUCUGUUGUUAAAGAAGAACAUAUCUGAGAGUAACUGUUCAGGUAUUGACGGUAUUUAACCAGAAAGCCACGGCUAACUACGUGCCAC
rnacentral:rRNA from 1 species